rnacentral:rRNA from 1 species
AUACGGAGGAUGCGAGCGUUAUCCGGAAUUAUUGGGCGUAAAGAGUGCGUAGGUGGUUUUGUAAGCGCGGGGUGAAAGGCUAUGGCUCAACCAUAGUAAGCCUUGCGAACUGUGAGACUUGAGUGCAGGAGAGGAAAGUGGAAUUCCUAGUGUAGCGGUGAAAUGCGUAGAUAUUAGGAGGAACACCAGUGGCGAAGGCGACUUUCUGGACUGUAACUGACACUGAGGCACGAAAGCGUGGGGAGC